CUCAUAUCACGUUGAAACAUCGGGUCUUUUACGUUCACGGAAGUUAAGCAAUGCUGAGCCUGGUGACUAUCUAGAUGGGUGACCGCUCGGGAAUACUUGGUGUUGUAAG